AUGCACAUUGGCAUGUUAUUGUCAUAUAAACACAUUGGCUUGUUGUUGUCAUAUAAACACCAGGUAGUUGAUUCACACUGGCUUGUUAUUGUCAUAUAACCACCACGUAGUUGAUUCACAUUGGCUUGUUAUUGUCAUAUAAACACCAGGUAGUUGAUUCACAUUGGCUUGUUAUUGUCAUAUGACCACCAGGUAGUUGAUUCACAUUGGCUUGUUAUUGUCAUAUAAC